rnacentral:rRNA from 1 species
AGCUCCAAUAGCGUAUAUUAAAGUUGUUGCAGUUAAAAAGCUCGUAGUUGGAUUUGUGGUUUCCUUCGCGGUCCGUACUUUUCGGUACUGUGAGGGAGGCCAUCCUUGGGCGGAGGCUGUGUGGCAUUAGGUUGUCGUGCAGUGGAAGCCCAUCAUUUACUGUGAAAAAAUUAGAGUGUUCAAAGCAGGCUUAUGCCGUUGAAUAUAUUAGCAUGGAAUAAUAAGAUAGGACCUUGGUACUAUUUUGUUGGUUUGCGCACCGAGGUAAUGAUUAAUAGGGACAGUUGGGGGUAUUCGUAUUCCAUUGUCAGAGGUGAAAUUCUUGGAUUUUUGGAAGACGAACUACUGCGAAAGCAUUUACCAAGGAUGUUUUCA